rnacentral:lncRNA from 1 species
CUUUUGGCUAGUGUAUUUGGCUCCAUCCUGAGCUUUCUUGGAUUCCUCAUUGUUCAAGUCCACUUUCUCAGAAGACAAUUUCUCCUCUGCAUUCUCUUUAUCAGUCUGGGCUUUAGCCAUGAAGUCAUCCUGCCUAGCAAGUUCAAUGCAAAUAGGGUACUUCUUAUUCCAAAUUCGUUUUCGUGCCAGACUUUUGGGAACCAGGGAAAUCUUGCUCUCUGUAAGCUCAUAAAUUUUCUGGCUGACAUACGUGACUUCCGGCUUUGGCUCAUUGUACACAGCUCUUCUAGAAAUGUUUUUAUUAGGUUUUGAAAGCCUUAAGGUACUUCCUUCAAGUCGCACGUAAACAGAGUGAGUCAAUGUAGCAUGGUAUGUUUCUGGAUCAUAAUUAUAAAUUUCAUUCAUCCAUCCCUUCAGUAUCUCAGGUUCUUUGAUGUCUAGAGCUCCUGUAUUCC